GGUGGUGUAGCCAAGUGGUAAGGCAACGGUCUGCAAAACCGUCAUCGCGGGUUCGAUUCCCGUUACCACCU
rfam:Weissella oryzae SG25 DNA, scaffold: sequence06.